ACCUGUGGGUCUAAAGGUUUAAGCAGAUAAAUGUUGUUCUAAAGGUCUAACCAGAGACUUGUGGUUCUAAAGAUCUAAACAGAGACCUGUGGGCCUAAAGGUUUAAGCAGAUAAAUGUUGUUCUAAAGGUCUAAGCAGAGACCUGUGGUUCUAAAGAUCUAAACAGAGACCUGUGGGUCUAAAGGUUUAAGCAGAGACCUGUGGUUCUAAAGGUCUAAGCAGAGACCUGUGGUUCUAAAGAUCUAAACAGAGACCUGUGGUUCUAAAGAUCUAAACAGAGACCUGGGGGUCUAAAGAUCUAAACAGAGACCUGUGGGUCUAAAGGUUUAAGCAGAGACCUGUGGUUCUAAAGGUUUAAGCAGAUAAAUGUUGUUCUAAAGGUCUAAGCAGAGACCUGUGGGUCUAAAGGUUGGUUCCACACACUGAACUUCAUCCGCCGUGGAACGUCUGGUAAAAACUAUUCUGCUCGACUGGUCCCCUCAGAUAUAAAUUAACAGCUGGUCACAUGACACCUCAGAAUUCCUGACAUUCCACAAUAACAGGAACUCUACGGAUGCACACAAUCCCCCCCCCCCACACACACACACAGCUGCUUAUUGUUUGUCUAAAUUCCUUCACAUCCUGUUUUCACCUGAACUCCUUCAGAACUGUUCUCUGUGUUCUAUCUGUUGGUUCCCCUAAGGUUCCACAGUGUUCUCUUUAUGUUCCCCUAAGGUUCCACAGUGUUCUCUUUAUGUUCCCCUAAGGUUCCACAGUGUUCUCUUUAUGUUCCCCUAAGGUUCCACAGUGUUCUCUUUAUGUUCUCCUAAGGUUCCACAGUGUUCUCUUUAUGUUCCCCUAAGGUUCCACAGUGUUCUGUUUAUGUUCCCCUAAGGUUCCACAGUGUUCUCUUUAUGUUCCCCUAAGGUUCCACAGUGUUCUGUUUAUGUUCCCCUAAGGUUCCACAGUGUUCUCUUUAUGUUCCCCUAAGGUUCCACAGUGUUCUCUUUAUGUUCUCCUAAGGUUCCACAGUGUUCUCUUUAUGUUCCCCUAAGGUUCCACAGUGUUCUCUUUAUGUUCCCCUAAGGUUCCACAGUGUUCUCUUUAUGUUCUCCUAAGGUUCCACAGCGUUCUCUUUAUGUUCUCCUAAGGUUCCACAGUGUUCUCUGUUAUAUUGUGUGUUCCCUGAGCAUUCCCACAGAGGUUCUCGUCCCCGUUAGAACCUUUUAACAGCCACGUUGUUGUUGGUUCUCCUGACAGAGAGAACUGAGGAGGAACAGAGGAACGUUUCCUUCCAGAUGACUUCACCUCCAAAACACGCCUCUCUCUCCAAACACAAACAGCCCGUCGCCAU